UUGUUGAAGAUUACUAGUGGUAGAUUGGUGUCACCUCAUCGUAGUAGACUCCAUCCAAAUAUUGUGGAGGCAUUAAUGUGUUCUCAAAGUUGGUUGCUUGAAAGUGAUAGCACUGUGGAGGAUUAUGAAAUUAAUGAA